rnacentral:sRNA from 1 species
GCUGGGCAUGGUGGUGCAUGCCUGUAAUCCCAGCUAUUGGGAGGCUGAGGCAGAAGAAUCACUUGAACCCAGGAGGUGGAGAUUGCAGUGAGCUAAGAUUGCACCACUGCACUCCAGUCUGGGUGACAAAAGGAGACUCUGUCUCAA